AUGAACGCUGGCGGCGUGCUUAACACCUGCCAGUCGCACGAAGCACUUUAUUUGAUUUCCUUCGGGACUGAUUAUUUUGUGACUGAGUGGCGGACGGGUGAGUAACGCGUGGGUAACCUGCCUUGUACAGGGGGAUAACAGUUGGAAACGGCUGCUAAUACCGCAUAAGCGCACAGCAUCGCAUGAUGCAGUGUGAAAAACUCCGGUGGUAUAAGAUGGACCCGCGUUGGAUUAGCUAGUUGGUGAGGUAACGGCCCACCAAGGCGACGAUCCAUAGCCGACCUGAGAGGGUGACCGGCCACAUUGGGACUGAGACACGGCCCAAACUCCUACGGGAGGCAGCAGUGGGGAAUAUUGCACAAUGGGCGAAAGCCUGAUGCAGCGACGCCGCGUGAGCGAAGAAGUAUUUCGGUAUGUAAAGCUCUAUCAGCAGGGAAGAUAAUGACGGUACCUGACUAAGAAGCACCGGCUAAAUACGUG
rnacentral:rRNA from 1 species